AACGCACAUUGCGCUCUCUGGUAUUCCGGAGAGCAUGCUUGUUUGAGUAUCAGUAAACACCUCAACUCCUUUAUUGUAGUUGGACUUGAGCUAUCCCAACAGGACUUUUUGUUCCUGGCGGGAGGCUUGAAAUGCAGGUGCAGCUGGACAUUCUCCUGAGCUAAAAGCAUAUUUAUUUAGUCCCGUCAAACGGAUUAUUACUUUUGCUGCAGCUAACAUAAAGGGAGUUUGACCGUAUUGGCUGACUGAUGCAGGAUUUCACAAGGGUCGGCAACGAUUCUUGUAAAACUCGAUCUCAAAUCAAGUAAGACUACCCGCUGAACUUAA
rnacentral:misc_RNA from 1 species